AGUUCUACAUUAACCGUGGGUUAGCUCAGGAGGCAAACGCAAAAGCGGGCAGCGUCUUUUUGUCAAUGAUUUUCAAGCUUUUCAGCAUUUCGUUCGUCUGCUGCUGAGUAUUCAGGCCAAAAACGUCGAAGGCGCUCAAAUUGAAUUUGUUUAGCCUGUUAAAAAAGGUUUCAAAAAUGAGUACGACCAAAAACUCACUUGUAUGGCCUUCCACAUGACGUACAAGGCGACUGUAUUGUCUGGAUAUUGGGUGAAGGCCAAUGAGGCCACCAGACCUGAAGGUACUGAAAAUAGAGCGUGAUCCCGAUUGAAGCAGUGGCGCAGUAGGCAGGACAUGGACUGAAAGAAGGAGAAGCUGCCCAUGAAGAUGCCCAGCUGUAAUGUGCCCCUGUUGAAGAUUUGUUUGCGCCACGGCAUACGACCUUGGAAUAUUGUUUUCAUAUUCAUCACCAGCUUUAAUGCCACUUGCAGCGCCACGCCGCCCGCAAAGGGACGCAAGCCACCCAAUAUGGCAUAGCUGGGGCAGCUCUGCUUAUGGCGGCAGCUUUCAUGCUUGGCGUGGAUUAGGUUGGUGUAGACACGCACCCAAUCGGCGGUGGUGGCGAAUCUGACGCUGGGUCGACGGCGUGAGGGUGCCGGCUGCUCGCCGGAUGCCAGGGGCUCGGAAAUCACCACCGGACCGGCCUCCUCUUUGCCCACAAAAAUGCGUAGUAUAUUGAAGAUGGAGUCGUCGUUUGCGCUUAUGCGGUACAAGUACAAAAGUACCGACAUGCUGCAGGCAAAUAUAAUUGUCUGGCCAUGAGCCACCGAACGCACCCAGUUCCGAGAUUCUGCCAUUUUCCAGAGUGCUUCCGUGGCAACAUUGGCAACAUAGAGCGUCAGCAGCGGACGGCGCGCCGGGCGCUCCACCAUAAUGGCUGUGAGCGAAGACAGAAACGAGGGCAAAAAGGCAACAGUGCCAAAGUAAUAGCGACCCAGUAGAUUGCGCAGCAAGCAAUUGUACAGGAUAAAGGUGUAGGCAUUGGUCACCAGAAAGGCUGUGGACUGCAUGAUGCCUAGCAGCGUGCGCUUUAAGUCCUCCAGCGUUGGUAUACGUUGGCGCAUCAGCAAUGAAAAGGCGUAGACGAUUGUGUAGACACGCAAACAAUAGGGCGUAGCUGAUAGCAAUAUGCCCGCCGUGGCAUUUACGCACUUAUCCGUCCAGGGAUGCUGAAACUCCUGGCAGGUAACGCACAGCGGAUCAAGCAGCUUGCUUUGAACGCCCAUUAUGAGUUGUAUACGACUGUGAACGAAUUAAUAAAAAUGCAUUAGUUACGUGCAGCUUAAUGGAGACAGGGCUAAGGCCAUAAGUCCGCAAGUUGGCCUUUAAUCUUAUCUAAUGAGCAUCGAUAAGGGGUUGUUGCGAUUUGCACCUUUGAUUUUGAUUGUAUCGAGGCAACAGCUAAAGAAAAAGCUAUAUAUAGUUCACAUAUGUAUCAAUCAAUUUCUUGAAAGCAUUUAUUUUUGUCAGUGAAAAUUAUUGGCUUAUCUUGUUGCGCUUGCGGGUCAAGCACAUAGUACACAGCUGAUAAAAAAGUCAUUGUACUCUGGCUUUCCACUUUAUGCUCUUCUCGAACUUAUCUGUGUGUUGUACUUACGCUUAAUGUCUAUUUUCAAAACCAGUUGUUGCUAAAUCGCAACUGUGCGUUUUAGUAGUAAAUUAUUCUAGCCAGAACACUUUAAUGACUUUGGACUCAAAGCGGAAAUAAUUGAGAACUUACUGUGUGUCAAAUGCACUGAUUUGUGCUGAAACUGCUACUGCGUUCCAUUAAAAUGUAAACAAAACAAUUAAAACAGCUGUCCGCAGUGUGACCGUAGCCUCUUUCUGUGUUUAAGCCGCCAACGUUUUUGGAAAAUAUCAACCUUUGAACUUUGGUUAAGUUAAGUUUUAUGGCAUUUGAGUUUAUUUCAAUCCGCAGCCUUAAUUGAAUUGUGGCUUUUUAAACAUAAUCUGUUGUAUUUUCAAGCAUUUUAUAAUAGCGCAUGUGUUUUUUAAAAAUAAUGCAGUUUCGCAACAAGUAAAAAUAUCGAGUAACAUGACCAUAAGUCCAGCUGUCUAUUGGUAUAUAUUUAGAAGAAAUACAUAAUAGUUUGUAUGUCUUAACUGCGCACUGUAAGGCAGCAUUAAAACUGCAAUUUAUUUAGCUUUAAAAUGCCUAAUACGCGGCAAGCGUGUCUGCGACGUGUCAAGGCCUUCUAAACAUGUUAACCGCUUUCUAAUUUAAAUAUCGAUAUAUUGCCGGCAUUUGUUACGAUAGUUAGUGCUAUCGCACACGGGUGUUGUAGCAGUUAGCUUCGUACUGUAGACUGUAUUGCUUUUCCAUGUGAUUUGUGAGACAAUUGGCGCGCUAUUAGUAUAAUUUUAUUAUAAAUCUUAAUUUUGUGUUGUGAUAAUUAUAAUUGUAUGGGUACUGACUUAAUUGCUACCAUAAGGAUUACCAUGGCAAUUACAAUUCCUGUUGCCUUGAAGGCACAGUGCACAACAGAGGAGCCCUUGGUAUGCUUAAAUUUGUGCAUUAUAUACACGUACAUACAUACAUAUGUAUGUAUGUAUUAAUAGUCUAAUUUGAAUCACAAGUUGUGAAGAGAAUUGUUUGGGGGCGUGCUGCGUACGCUUUUCUAAGGUGUCCUGCCCAGAGUUGCGUCGACAUACUUGACAUUGCUCAGGGAAUAACAAAAUAUUUCCUUCAGGUGAAGGGUUAUGGUUAAGAGAUGCUUGCCCUUACCUGUGGGCAGGCUUAUUUCGCAAAACUUACGUUCCUAAGUAGUUGCCCAUCACGGAAUAUGAAGGAGUAGAUGCUCUCGCUGCUGCAUAGCGUUUGCUUUUGUUGUUUUGGGUUAGCUGCUUAGGAAAAUUGCGGUUGCCAUUGUGUGAUUUCCGCCUUUAGGGCUUAGGCAGUCAGUUGCCACGGACAACAGCCCCUCAUUCAAGCUCCCGACAGCGAUUGGGGCAUUCAUUUCAUGCAUACCGUCAUUGGGUGGCAGCUACUUACCUAAUUUACUCGAGGUGCUCCUUGGCUGUGUGAAUAAAUCUUUGCGUUUGACAUGCCACUUUCCGCUAAAUACGCACUUCAAGUUAAUAGCGUUGGAGCUUGCCGUGUGUUGGGGAUUGGGGUUGUGCUGGCGGCUGUGCCAAUGCCAGAGGCCAAAGAUACUCUCAGCAUUGACAUUACCUGCAGCUUGUGCAGGCUCAAUUGGCAAACGAUUAAAUCCUGAUGCCUGUUUAAAUUUUUUAUUAAAAUUAUAUAAGAAAAUUAAUGCUUUAAA